UGUUCAAUAAAUGUUUAUUGUGUUCAGUCCGCGACCUAAGAUGUGUUUUGGGGUUAAGCCCCUUGUGAGAUUGACUUUGACACCCCUGUUCUAAAAUAUCCCUUUUUUUACCUUCUGUCAAUCAUUUGGUAGCAUUUCUUCAGCCAGCUGAUCCCAGGCAUCUUAUUUCGAGGAGUGGCGCCGUUCAUGUAGAUGAUCAGGUACAGAUUUCUGUUAGCCUCAUCACCUUCCCACUCCAGGUCGUUGCCAUUGGCGAUGAACUCCAGCGAGUCUGUGUCAUCCGGAGUGUCAAUGUCAUCCACGUUGAUGUCCAAGUCAUCUGGAGUGUCCAGGAAGUCAUCUGACAGCAGGGAGCCCUCGCUUUGGUCCAAGGACAAGUUCAUCUCCGGGGCGACCAGUGUGCGUCGUUUGCGGUGACUUGAGGACACGCCCCCUCCUCCAGGUGGAGUCACGUGCAGGGAGCUGGGAGGAGCUGCAGGGAGAGCACAAGCAGCUUCAGAUCAUGUGGUGCAGGAGGAGAAUGUUUAGUUUGAGGAGUUUGAGACGUACAGAUUCUGUUGUCCGUGAGUCCACAAGAGGGAUCCAUGUCUCCGUACUCAGGUAGAGGUCUGGAGGGAAAAACAGCCCAUAGGUGAGUGACCAGGUGUCAAAAGCAAUGACCUCAUUUUGAGUCUGUUUAA